AACACAUGCAAGUCGAGCGGAAACGAGUUAUCUGAACCUUCGGGGAACGAUAACGGCGUCGAGCGGCGGACGGGUGAGUAAUGCCUGGGAAAUUGCCCUGAUGUGGGGGAUAACCAUUGGAAACGAUGGCUAAUACCGCAUAAUAGCUUCGGCUCAAAGAGGGGGACCUUCGGGCCUCUCGCGUCAGGAUAUGCCCAGGUGGGAUUAGCUAGUUGGUGAGGUAAGGGCUCACCAAGGCGACGAUCCCUAGCUGGUCUGAGAGGAUGAUCAGCCACACUGGAACUGAGACACGGUCCAGACUCCUACGGGAGGCAGCAGUGGGGAAUAUUGCACAAUGGGCGCAAGCCUGAUGCAGCCAUGCCGCGUGUAUGAAGAAGGCCUUCGGGUUGUAAAGUACUUUCAGCAGUUAGGAAGGCGGGUACGUUAAUAGCGUGCUCGUUUGACGUUAGCUGCAGAAGAAGCACCGGCUAACUCCGUGCCAGCAGCCGCGGUAAUACGGAGGGUGCGAGCGUUAAUCGGAAUUACUGGGCGUAAAGCGCAUGCAGGUGGUUUGUUAAGUCAGAUGUGAAAUCCCGGGGCUCAACCUCGGAACCUCAUUUGAAACUGGCAAGCUAGAGUCUCGUAGAGGGGGGUAUAAUUUCAGGUGUAGCGGUGAAAUGCGUAGAGAUCUGAAGG
rnacentral:rRNA from 1 species